GACGAACGCUGGCGGCGUGCUUAACACAUGCAAGUCGAACGGAAAGGCCCUGCUUUUGUGGGGUGCUCGAGUGGCGAACGGGUGAGUAACACGUGAGUAACCUGCCCUUGACUUUGGGAUAACUUCAGGAAACUGGGGCUAAUACCGGAUAGGAGCUCCUGCUGCAUGGUGGGGGUUGGAAAGUUUCGGCGGUUGGGGAUGGACUCGCGGCUUAUCAGCUUGUUGGUGGGGUAGUGGCUUACCAAGGCUUUGACGGGUAGCCGGCCUGAGAGGGUGACCGGCCACAAUGGGACUGAGAGACGGCGCAGACUCGUACGGGGGGCAGCAGUGGGGAAUAUUGCACAAUGGGCGGAAGCCUGAUGCAGCAACGCCGCGUGCGGGAUGACGGCCUUCGGGUUGUAAACCGCUUUCGCCUGUGACGAAGCGUGAGUGACGGUAAUGGGUAAAGAAGCACCGGCUAACUACGUG
rnacentral:rRNA from 1 species